UCCAGGGUAGUCUAGUGGACAUUGAUGACAUCUGCCCGGUAAGCGGAACAUUGUGGGUUUGAUUCCCAUCCCUGGAC
rnacentral:tRNA from 1 species